GCGCAGAUAUAAAGCACACGAUGCUCAGAGCAGAGAGAAGGGUUACGACGUGGGGGUCGGUGUGUCGAAGGGGUCGCGGUUGUUGGAAAGAGGGGGAGCGAACGCGCAAAGGUGGCGUCGGCGUCGCGACGCCCGGAGAGAGUCAGUCACCAGCCGACCUCAACGCGCCGCGUAACCUCGCUCGUCGACCCAGAAACCUAGCGCUGCUUCUCUAUCUCGCGCUGAACCGGAAACGGGGGCUGUCGCGGCACCGGAAACGUGGCAUCGUGGCCGUCUCCACGGAAAAAUCGUCGAUUGAAUCUUAUCGUUUUUCUUGAGAGAGAAAAAAAGAGCGUGAUCGCGUCGUGCGCGGAAAACGAGGGAAUCCAGAGUGCUCGAAAGAAAACGAUUGUUUCACUCCAUUUUAGUGGCAAAUUAUAGGCAAAUUAAAAGUGUGUUUGAGAAAGUUUGGAAUCGAUGCGAAGUUUAGAAUUUUUCAUUCUUGUUAUUCAGUUGUUAUUCGUUUAGACAUUGCCGUGGAGCACUUGAUAGGAGACUCGGUUUCCCGCGCGCGACUCAUCCCACCACGAAGAUGCCGGUUCGUUCGGGCUCGAAUGUGAGAGACAGGACAUUUUUGUGAGAAAAAGUGUUGAGUGAAAAGUAGUUGACUUUGCUAGAGACCGGCAAUAAAGUGGAAGGUUUUGUGAAGCAGAGGAUGAUAAAGUAAAGGAUUUUUUAAGAUAAAAGGAUAAUGGAAGGAAAAGUGUUCAGUACAGUGCAUUGAACAGUGUUCGAUCGAAGGGAGGAUUUAAAGAUGCACAUCUGGUUAGUUGUUGAGGGUUGAAAAUUAUAAAGCAUUUUUAUCUCAAAUCAGAUAAUUUUGAGAGACAAAGAUAAUAAAGAAUACCAGUGUUCUUUUAAUAACAGUAUGUAUUUAUAGAGGGGUUUGUCGGUGUACAGCAAGUUUAUGAUUGGGAAUUGUAAAUUGUAAAACAUUUUGGUUCAAACGAAUUGAACUUAUGACAGUACGUGUUUUAAUAAAAUACAGGAUUUUUUAAAGAAAAAGAAUAAUAAAGAAAAGGUAAUGUUCUUUAAAGGAAGUAAUAAAAGUAGAAGUGUGUUGGUAGAGGGAAAACGUUGAAAGACAGUAUAUACUAUAUGGGAGACAGAGAAGUGGAAGUUGUUAAAAAGCAUUUGAGCCGAAAAGUAGGAUUGGCAGAAUUGUGUCAACUGGACAUUUGGAAAAUAUUGUUUUGAUGUUGCGAUGAUAUGUAACGUUAUUAGCAAUUUUACAAUAACAGCGCGUUAAUUUGGAUGGUACUUUUCAACUUUGUUAAAUAAAAGUUAAUAUUGGUAAAAAAAUAUUAUCUCACGUGUUUUGGGAGAAACUGAGCUAGAAUAUAUUGAAAAAAGAUAAAAUUUAAGGACAGCAGUUUUUGGAAGAAUUUUGACGACAUAUUAUUAAAAUUAGCUAACAAAAGUAUAUGCCAAGACAAAUAAUCGUGUAUAAUAAACUGUAUGCUAUUAUAUUAGAUUAAAUACUACCCAAUGUGUUCCAAAGAAAACGUAGAUUACCAAGAUCUAGUGCAUUAAAUGUUAACUGAAAUAAAUUGUAGAAUUCAUGAAAUAGUGACAAACAUUUCUUAAAGAAGGAAGAGAAGAACCGAAUUCUUAAAUAUUAAAAAUUUAGAAGACUGAGAUCCCAUGAAACUCUGUCCCCAACGAAAAACUAUUGUAUCGUGACAUUCUGCUAAAAAUUAGCGAGCUGAGGUCUAAUCUAAUAUUCUCAAAAGAAGUGGAAGAAAACCAACACUCCAGGGGAGAUUAACGUUUCAUGGUGUACUUACUGGGUAGAAAAUUGUCGUAUCUAAUAAUCCUUCCAAAAGACGAAGAAAGGACCUGUUUUAUAAAAAUAGAAAAGAGAGACUUGAAAACGAAUUUUCUCGUUUCUGAUGAAAGAGAAGUAAUGGUUAUAGAAUUUCAAAAAUAAAUAAGUAAAAUUAAGUGAGUGAAGAACAAUUUGAUAUAAUUCAGUUUAACGAGCAAAAGAACAUCCACACAUGACUAAAAGAAAUAUCUAUCUAUCCCUAAACGAACUGACAAAAAAAGUAACACCCUCGAUCCACCAAAUAAUCCAAUUCCAAGAAAUUAGAUCUCGGGCAAUUCCUUCGUGACCAAA